CGGAGGGUGCAAGCGUUAUCCGGAUUCACUGGGUUUAAAGGGUGCGUAGGAGGACAGGUAAGUCAGUGGUGAAAUCUUCGAGCUUAACUCGGAAACUGCCGUUGAUACUAUCUGUCUUGAAUAUUGUGGAGGUGAGCGGAACAUGUCAUGUAGCGGUGAAAUGCUUAGAUAUGACAUAGAACACCAAUUGUGAAGGCAGCUCGCUACACAUAUAUUGACUCUGAGGCACGAAAGCGUGGGGAUCAAACAGGAUUAGAUACCCUGGUAGUCCACGCCCUAAACGAUGGAUACUCGACAUACGCGAUACACUGUGUGUGUCUGAGCGAAAGCAUUAAGUAUCCCACCUGGGAAGUACGACCGCAAGGUUG
rnacentral:rRNA from 1 species